rnacentral:rRNA from 1 species
GGGGAAUAUUGCACAAUGGGCGAAAGCCUGAUGCAGCAACGCCGCGUGAGUGAUGAAGGCCUUCGGGUUGUAAAGCUCUGUCUUUUGGGACGAUAAUGACGGUACCAAAGGAGGAAGCCACGGCUAACUACGUGCCAGCAGCCGCGGUAAUACGUAGGUGGCAAGCGUUGUCCGGAAUUACUGGGCGUAAAGAAUGCGUAGGUGGAUAUGCAAGUCAGAUGUGAAAUACCCGGGCUCAACUUGGGUGCUGCAUUUGAAACUAUAUAUCUAGAGUGCAGGAGAGGAAAGCGGAAUUCCUAGUGUAGCGGUGAAAUGCGUAGAGAUUAGGAAGAACACCAGUGGCGAAGGCGGCUUUCUGGACUGUAACUGACACUGAGGCACGAAAGCGUGGGGAGCAAACA